ACACAUGCGUCUGCCGCUACGUUCCCUCGGUCGCAACCCCCUCGUUCUUUCCCUGCUUCCGGCGGGCGAACGCAACUGCUGCUAGCCGGUGGGCUUUCAGCAGCUGUUGUAAACUAUUCCCUGUAUUUGCCUCAGUUUGCGGCACUGCUCUAUGCCACAGCGGUAUUCCAACAAUUGCUAGUAAAAAAGACUUGUGGUGAAAAUUACCCAGCAAAGUUUAGGUUUAAAAUAUUUCACACAAGGUUCUUUUUGCGAAAUGCAAGAGGAGCUUGAAAAUAAUCGGGUCACCGAUAAAGAAAAAUGAAGGGUGUUUGAAUGAAGCAUGCACGGAGUUCUCCUUGCGAUCAUCACCACUGCGCAUCUUGUGCUUGGUGAAAACAUGCUCCUCGAGGCUGGUCCGUCCUUGGGAAUCGUUCAACCAAUUGGAUCGAACAUGUUUGUACCGACGUCAAGAUCCGCUACUAUUGUGAUCAAACAACCGCCACCUUCAGUUGUGGUUGUCAACGUUCCAGCUGUCGUCCAGCAGCCUACGAUUAUUGUAGUGCAGAGAAGUGAAAAAUAAAA